GUCCAUGGCCAUUCCACUCUAAAUGUGCCCAAUCUCAUCUGAUCUCAGAACCUAAGCAGGGUUGGGCCUGGUUAGUACUUAGACAGGAGAGACAGAGAAUAGACAUACAGACAUAGACA
ensembl:rRNA 5S_rRNA 5S ribosomal RNA